UUCGGGAACUCUGACACAGGUGCUGCAUGGCUGUCGUCAGCUCGUGCGUGAGAUGUUGGGUUAAGUCCGUAACGAGCGCAACCCUUGUCCUUAGUUACCAGCACGUUAUGGUGGGCACUCUAAGGAGACUGCCGGUGACAACCGGAGGAAGGUGGGGAUGACGUCAAGUCAUCAUGGCCCUUACGGCCUGGGCUACACACGUGCUACAAUGGUCGGUACAAAGGGUUGCCAAGCCGCGAGGUGGAGCUAAUCCCAUAAAACCGAUCGUAGUCCGGAUCGCAGUCUGCAACUCGACUGCGUGAAGUCGGAAUCGCUAGUAAUCGUGAAUCAGAAUGUCACGGUGAAUACGUUCCCGGGCCUU
rnacentral:rRNA from 1 species